rnacentral:tRNA from 1 species
GAACGGCGCGGCCAGGAAGGCGCUGGCCUCAUGGGCCAGGUGAUGCUCGACGAAAUGCCAGCGCCGGCCGAUGUCUUCGGCCGUCGCGCC